AGAAAUUUGAUGUCCUGUCCGGUGAAAUUAGAACAAUUCAAAAGAUUAUCAUGGCCCCUGCACACGGAUGACACAUCGAAAAAGAAGAGAUGAUGGAUUAAU